UACGUAGGUGGCAAGCGUUGUCCGGAUUUAUUGGGCGUAAAGGGUGCGUAGGCGGCGGAGUAAGUUGGGUGUGAAAUCCCGGGGCUUAACCUCGGAAUUGCAUUCAAUACUGCUUCGCUUGAGUACUGGAGAGGAGGCUGGAAUUUACGGUGUAGCAGUGAAAUGCGUAGAUAUCGUAAGGAAGGCCGGUGGCGAAAGCGAGCCUCUGGACAGUUACUGACGCUGAUGCACGAAGGCCAGGGGAGCAAACGGG
rnacentral:rRNA from 1 species